UCUGUGCUGCUGCAGAUCCUGGUUAAUCUCCCCUGCUACCAAAGCCUAGCCUACCAGCCAGCAUUCUGUGUCUUAAAAUUAGCGUGGGAGAGCCGUAGAGGGUUUUUUCUUCCUCCCCCUCUUCCCAUCACUAUCUUGACGCUUUGGAGCAGGCUGAUAACGCAGAGACAGGCUGCUUGUCUAAAAGCUGGGGGCAAAUCUUUCCCUCCCGGCCAGCCCCUUCCUGGUUACGGAGGAAGCGAUCUGUGACGGUGUCAGGAAAUGUCAUUAGUUAGCGAGCGCUCCUGUGUCAAAGGAUCCCAUCUGCAGCGAGAUCUGUUUCUAGGCUGUAAAGACUGUCCUCUGAUGCGUGGCCUGAAACUGGGACGAGUGUGGUGCUUCUCCCACCUGUGCACAAGAGUUUUCGGCCCACGGAAACCAAGUGAUCUGCCCUCCCUCUGGGAAGAGAGGUUGUCUUUUCCAACAAGAAGACUCUGGCUCUAUCUCCAGCAGCAGCCCACCCAGUCCCUGCACAGACCUUGUGUUAUGGUGUUCCUGUGCUGAACAGGUAGGAGCUGAGAUGGUACAGACAUGAGCUUUUUAGGAAAGAAGCAUUUCUAAACUGUUAGCCAAAUCUGAGAUAAAUCAGUGUCUGCAUGAAAGGCUGCUGUUUUCAGCCAAAAGAUAUUGCUAAGUAAUGUGCCCUCAUAGAGGGAAAGAGAGAGAUGUUCUGUCUGGCUGUCCUGCCCCGAGAACAGUGCUGCUAGCUGCUCAGACAGAAAGCACAUGGAUGCUUUGGGAAUACCUAGAGAGCAGCAAUGCUUCGGUAAGAGGAUAAAGGAAAGAAGUCUACUGCAGACAACGGUGUCCAGAGAAAUCCAAUUAUUAACCAGUCCUAAAUAGUCUGGCUGUUACAAACAGGACCUGAAGACAGGAGACAAACGGUUGGAGCAGAAGAAUCACUCUUUUCGAUAUUCAAAGUGUUGUUUUCCUGAAGUUAGGAGACACUUUUGUGAUGCACAUGUCAGAAGUAACAACGAUGGUUCACCUUGUUUGACGUUCAUGGGUACGUCUGUUUUAAUUCCGUCCCAGAAGCUGUGCUGUGUGGCUGGGAAAAGAAAAAGACAGUUCCUGUUCUGCAUUGUGCAGAACAACCUGGUUUCUGUCCCUUCGUUCUCAAGCAGUCUUUUGUCACACAACUUGCUGCUACAGAGAGUUUGAAAAUAGGCUCAAUAUGUGCCUGGGCUGGGAGAUGUGUGUAAAUUACAAAUUGUUUGGGAAAUGACACGUUAUGGGUAUUCUUAAGCAGGUUGAAUCAAACUGUGGAUUUUCAAGCUGUACACAGGCAGAUUUUCAGUGCACCUUCCCUGGGAAGACCUUGAAAGCAGGAGAUGAGGUGGGUUCGUUGCAAAGUGUUUAAGCAGUAAGCUGGGCAAAAUGGGGGUUGCAGCUUCGGUGGUGGAAGCAUGAAAUGUAGCCUGAAAUCUGUGGCCUCGCAGCCAUAAGGUGGCUCCCCAGUGCUCCUGGCUCUCCUGCAGGGAGCAGCAGGCCCAAGCUCCUUUAGAUCAGGUUACAGAGGGGUUGCGUGGGCAGCUUGGCUUGACAUGGCUGCGACCAUGAAAAAGCACUGUUUUAAUGAGAAAAAUUAAGCUAAAGCAGGAAGAUGAGCUCGGGCCUGGACAGUGGCGCUGGCUGAAGAGGAGGCAGAAACUGCUUGGUGUCAGCAGCUCUCUCUGGAGGACCUGCAUUUAUUUUCUCUCUCCGUGCAGGGCUGGUAGCAAGUGACUUUUUGCUCAGCUAAGUGACCUCCAGUUUGGAGGUUGGGUUGGAAUUUGGAAGUCACUAAAAGUUUUUUUUUUUUUUUGUAUUGUUUUAUUCCACUACCCUUGAAUUUCUUGUAGGAAGCUGCUGUUGUGGAGCUGUCUCUAGAGCAAGCAGAGGACGUUCUGUGAGGCUUGUGCUUGUUCAGACAGCUAAACUAAAUUGAGGGGAAGCUAUGCUCUGACAUAUUGGGGUGAUGAUGAUGUUCAAAUCUUAUCAGAAGGCUCACACCUCCACCCCUAUGGGAGUCGAUACAGAAAGCAGACAGGUAGCUAGACCACAGACUGGCGUGCAGUGUGACUUGGGGGUGGGAGAAGCACCUUUGGCACCAAACUGACCGAAUUCCCUUCCCAUGGGCCCACGCAGGCAGUUCGUGACCAUGGGUUUUGAGGAAGAAACCACGCAGUGGUCGGUCUUGGUGUAGGGAGGAAUUGCAGGCACGUGUGGGAGCGCUCCCAGAACAGAAGCGAGCACCCAGUGGCUUUCAAAUCAGCCUGAGCUGAAUUUCAAUGAUCAGAAGAUAUAAAUUAAAACUGGAGCUGAAACUUCAGAUCGAAAUGUUCACUUUGACUGCCUGGUUUUAAUUUAAAUGACUUGAGUGUUCCUAGUGUUUUGAUAUUGUCAAAAUCACUGUGCGGCAACAGGCCCCAGCAGACUAUAGGAACACCUUGUAAUAUUGUGUCUAUUAAAUUAAAGCUUUAUGGUAGCAGGAUGUAGUUUGAAAAAACUCUUUGAGGAGUUUGGGAGCAGGGAGGAGGAAGUGGGCUGCUGGUUCCUGGGGGGAAAGGAAAGGCACGUAAUGUCACAGGUGCCACUGGCUCACUGGGAAGCUGCUGCGUGUCGUAGUGUUUCCUUCCACGAGCCCUGGUGGAAGUGCAGAACAGCAGAGUCCUGCCGGUGCAAUUUCUGCAAUUUUCGAGAAGAAAUUUCCAAGAAGGAAUCGAUGCCACCUUCCCAAAUGGUGCGAAUGAAGCCAUCCCAGGCUCGCUUCCCUGCACCCCCCGGCAGCACCUUUCCCAGAUAACAAUCUCUGUGCUUCCUUUCAAGCCUCCCCACAGUGUGCCCAAGCGAUGGGAGUGAUGUCCUGAGCUCAGUUCCACCAAAAGGUAGCCCUUUUGUAUUUUAUUUUUAACUUUAUUUUUCCAUGUGCUUGCUUCUUCCCUCCAUCCCCUUGGGUCAACACCCCUGCACAUGCCCAAAUGCUGGCUGGCACGCACGGGCUCCUGCCUAGAGGCUGUGCUGCAUCUUGCUUGGACUCCAGGAUCCAGCAGGAGGAAGAAACGACUGCACUCACUCACUAAUUUGGCCUUUUGGGUGAAACAGGGGUUUGCUUUAGACUGGCUGUUGCACGCAGAUAGCAUUACCUGUUUGUGCAGCUGAAAUGCUCGAGAGGCCAGCUCUCUAAAUAGUAGAAAUAAGGACCUGGAUGAUAAUUGCCAAUUUGACAUCUAUCCAAGCUAUGAAGCACUGCUGAAGUGCAAGACCAGAGUGCCCUUCAGGAAGUCAUUUAGUGCCUCACGUGGCUUUUAAGCAGGAUCUGUACUUAAACUCUCCUGACAGAUGAGUUUCUAACCUAAAGCCACGCAGUGAGAAGGAUGCCAGGACCCCCUGAGUAGCCCAUUCUACUGUUUCAUUAUACCUACUGUUGGAAAGGUUUUCCCCCUAAUGUGUAACUAAAUCCUAUUUACUGCAAAUCAUGCUCAAGGUAGUGUGUGAAUAAAGUCAUGUAAAUCUUUUGUUUAAAACAAAGACACACCCCCCCAAACCCCUUUAAUUUCUUGGAAGUGUUAUCAUCCCUCCUUGCUUCUUUCUCCAACUACAACAAUUGCUUUAAUCUUUUCAUUAAUGGUUUUUAAACCCUGUCAGCAUCAUCGCCCAUUUCUGUUUCCUCCAAUUUCUCUACGUUUCAUAGUUUGCUGCACCAAAGUGGAUACAAGUACCACGCAGUUGCCAGCAUGACAUGUAGUGAUUAUAUCUACUCUGAAUGCCUGCAGCACAUGCUUAUGAAAUCAUUGGGAGCAUUUCUACAUUUAUUUACAGCUUCGUUCUUUCAGGCUGGCAUCCUUACAGCAACAUUUUAAAUUGGAGGAAAAAAUAGCAGAGCUUUUAUCCCUAGAUAAAACCUCUUCCUCAAUCACCUUAUUUCAAGUAACUCUCCUAAUAAAACUGAAGUGAGUCUACAUCCCUCGUGUGCUGUAAAGCGUUGCUUAGGGCUUGAACAAGGCUGUCGCUGUGCAAUUAGUCUCUAACAUGUUAAAAAGGAAAUCCUGAUGUACUUUUUUCCUUCUGCAUCGAUGGAUUAACCAAAAAGGUUUCUCUUAGCAAAGCUUACAACUGUGUGUACCUUUUGUGUGACACUUGAGGGCAAAAUUACUCUCUGCUUCUGGUGAGUGCUUCAUGAUGUUCUCAUCCCAAUAGUGUCCGGGCUGAGCAUUCAGAGUAGCACUCAGAGACUCCUCAGUCGAUAUGAUCGAUUGUGCACCUCACAAGUAAGCUCCCCUGCUCACGGGCAGCAGAGGUCAAGCUGAUGUGUCUGCUGUGUGCAGGGGCACUGAGGGGGGAUGUUAACUGCGUGGGAAUUGGACUUUGACAGAGACAGCAGCCCAACCUACAGAUCCCAGGCAGAGUUAAAUGUUUCAUGGGACAGCUGAAAAUGGGAUUUUGGGGCUCUCCCCUCGAUGUGUAACCGGUAUUUUGUUGUCCAGUCCCGUGGCUGUGAGAAUGUUACAGCAGGCACAGAGCAGAGCGCUCUGCAUAGAAUCAUAGAAUCAUAGAAUAUCCUGAGUUGGAAGGGACCCUUAAGGAUCAUCAAGUCCAACUCUUG